AUCCUUGUCCGUGGCAGAGUAGGCGCAGGGACCCCCCGGGGGGCUGGAGGUCCCCCCCGGACUCCAGCAGGGUCACGGCCGCCCGGAGCCCUGCGGGAAAAAGGGGAGAUGGGGAUGAGGCAAAGCCGGAUCCGGGCGGCCGUGACCCUGCUGGAGUCCGGGGGGGACCUCCAGCCCGCCGGGGGGUCCCUGCGCCUCCUCUGCCGAGGGCAAGGAUUCCAGUUUGGGGAUUUUUGGAUGGGCUGGAUGCGCCAGAAACCCGGGAAGGCGCUGGAAUACGUCGCGAGCAUCAGCAGCGGUGGUGGCAGCACGUACUACGCGCCAUCCGUGAAGGGCCGGUUCAGCAUCGCCAGGGACAACGGGCAGAGCUCGGUGACGCUGAGCAUGAACAACCUCCAGGACGAGGAUUCCGGCGUUUAUUUCUGCGCCAAAGCCGCUGUGGCUGGUUGGGGUGUUGACGUUACUGCUUAUAUUGACGCCGGGCUCGCUCUGGCCCCGGCUGAAAGGGGAGAGUGGGGGCAGCAGGGGCGGAGUUUGGGGUGA